GUGUAUUAUAAGAUUUCUUUACAUUCAAUUUGUCUUCCAUGAUAAAUAAACUGGUGAUAGGAACUAUUCAAGCUGUCUAGUUUCUGACAAAGUAGAAAAUAUUCUUUCCCCUUGCAAUCUCUAUGAUCCGUAUAAAUUUCAGUAGCGAACUCAAACAAGCGACGUUUUUGCAGUGUGACCAGACUUUUUCAGCAGUCAUUACCAAAAUUUUGUUCAAAUUUUACUAAAUUAAGGAAAAAUUUACCAAAUGUCGGCUUCCCAAAUAAUUACGUCAUGAUAAUGCCAAAAAACAAUAGUUACGUCAUCAAAGUAGAAAAAAUAUUCACAAAAAGUGUCAUCGUAUUGCAGUUUUUGCUAAUGAUAAGGCUUUAUUUCUUAGGCUUGGCAAUUCUGUUAAUCACUUUGAGCACGUUAUUAAACAAAAAACACACAUUUUUACCAACUAUUUUUAAUAAUUCAAACCUUUCAGAUUUUACCAAAAGAAACUCAUUACCAAAUUUUUUUGAAAAUUCACGAAAUUUUACCAAAAGUAGGACUUUUUACCAAAUCUGGUCACACUGCGUUUUUGUCAACACGGACACAGAAUAGGAAGUCCCUUUGCCACCUGCGCUCCUUCGCCCAGCGGCUACGCUCGUGUUCCAAGAUCCGCCAUGUAAAGUGUAGUGAAAUGUAUCUCAUCGUAAUAUUAAAUCCUAAGAAAACUAAAGCCUCUGCGGCGGAGAGAGAUAGGAAGUUAUAGCAGAAGCGUAACUCUAGUCGUUUCCCUUAUUGUUUGACGUCCACGAAAAGUUUAACUCGCUCACGCCAAUCCACGUCAUCCUGGCUAGUACAACCGGAAGUUUUUAUCAGGUUUUGGUAGGUACAAAGUGCCGGUUGUACUAGCCAGGAUGGCGUGAUUGAUGACGAAUCGCUUGUAAAAACGCGGACAAAUACUUGCUUGAGUUACGCUUCUGCUAUACCUUCCUAUUCUGUGACACGGACGUCAGAUUGCCGAGCGGGGACUGGAUUAAAAACUGUGUUUGUAUCAGUUUGUGGUAAUCUUCAACACAUGUGACCGUAGACAGAGUCAAGCCCCGUUUACACUACGCUCAAUUUUUGGUACGGCACGGAUAGAAUUGGUACCCGUACCACUUUUUUGGUUCUUGGACUACCUAUUUAGCUAAGCCCCGUUUACACUACGCUCAAUUUUUGGUACCGUACCACUUUUUGGUUCUUGGACUACCUAAAUAGGCAGUCCCAGAACCAAAAAAGUGGUACGGGUACCAAUUUUAUCCGUGCCGUACCAAAAAUUGAGCGUAAUGUAAACGGGGCUUCAGUCAAGAUAUGAUGGUCUGGAAACCCGGCAAACUUCAAAGCUACAAAAUAGAAGACCUUUGUUUGAUGUUGAACUAUAUCUCACCAUGCACAAAUCCUUUGUCUCAACUUCAUUAAAUAUUCAUUGUGGUUGCACGUUUCAUCUCAGCUAUCCCUUUUGAAUGAUUACUUCAUUAUACGAAAAUACAAUGAGCUCAAUCACCGUGACUGUGCACAAAUUAACAUAAACUCCGACAAAAACAUAAUACAAUGACUUGUGUUUAGUUUCCAGACCAUCCUAUCUUGAUAGACUAUGAUCUGAUAAAAUGCAAGAUUUUUGAAGUUUUUUGCUUCCUUAACCGAGCGCUAUGAUGCAAAAUGCCUCCAAAAUUAGCAUACCAAUUUUCGGAUGACGGUCCAUGUUGACAAAAACAUCGCUUGCUAAGGCGCAUUUCAGCCCUGUUAAA
rnacentral:lncRNA from 1 species